rnacentral:rRNA from 1 species
AACGAACGCUGGCGGCGUGCCUAACACAUGCAAGUCGAACGUGAAAGUCCUUCGGGAUGAGUAAAGUGGCGCACGGGUGAGUAACACGUAGGUGACCUGCCGUUUAGAGGGGGAUAACCAGAAGAAAUUUUGGCUAAUACCGCAUACGAAGUACAAAUCUUAGAGUAGUACUUGAAAGAAUGCCUCUGUAUAUGCAUUCACUAAACGAUGGGCCUGCGGUGCAUUAGCUAGUUGGUGGGGUAAUGGCCUACCAAGGCGACGAUGCAUAUCCGGUCUGAGAGGAUGAUCGGACACACUGGAACUGAGACACGGUCCAGACUCCUACGGGAGGCAGCAGUGGGGAAUAUUGCGCAAUGGGGGAAACCCUGACGCAGCAACGCCGCGUGAGUGAGGAAGGACUUCGGUCUGUAAAGCUCUGUUAAUGUGGAAAAAUGCUUGUUGGUCUAAUAGGCCAGUAAGUUGAUGGUACACAUAGAGGAAGCACCGGCUAACUUCGUG